CAAAGUGGGGGACCUUCGGGCCUCAUGCCAUCAGAUGUGCCCAGAUGGGAUUAGCUAGUAGGUGGGGUAACGGCUCACCUAGGCGACGAUCCCUAGCUGGUCUGAGAGGAUGACCAGCCACACUGGAACUGAGACACGGUCCAGACUCCUACGGGAGGCAGCAGUGGGGAAUAUUGCACAAUGGGCGCAAGCCUGAUGCAGCCAUGCCGCGUGUGUGAAGAAGGCCUCGGGUUGUAAAGCACUUUCAGCGGGGAGGAAGGCGGUGAGGUUAAUAACCUCAUCGAUUGACGUUACCCGCAGAAGAAGCACCGGCUAACUCCGUGCCAGCAGCCGCGGUAAUACGGAGGGUGCAAGCGUUAAUCGGAAUUACUGGGCGUAAAGCGCACGCAGGCGGUCUGUCAAGUCGGAUGUGAAAUCCCCGGGCU
rnacentral:rRNA from 1 species